rnacentral:ncRNA from 2 species
UUACCAAAAAGAGGUAAAGGUAUUAUCCCAUGCUAAACUACACACACUUGGAGUCGGGAAAGUCCGGUGAAAUUCCGGGACUGUGCCGCAGCUGUAAUCAACUAAAAAGUUAUAACUUUUGACUUUGUAAGUCAGAAUGCCAACUCUAAGGGUGUCUUCCGG